rnacentral:rRNA from 2 species
GCAGUCGANCGCGUUGNCCCAAUUGNUUGAUGGUGCUUGCACCUGAUUGAUUUUGGUCGCCAACGAGUGGCGGACGGGUGAGUAACACGUAGGUAACCUGCCCAGAAGCGGGGGACAACAUUUGGAAACAGAUGCUAAUACCGCAUAACANCGUUGUUCGCAUGAACAACGCUUAAAAGAUGGCUUCUCGCUAUCACUUCUGGAUGGACCUGCGGUGCAUUAGCUUGUUGGUGGGGUAACGGCCUACCAAGGCGAUGAUGCAUAGCCGAGUUGAGAGACUGAUCGGCCACAAUGGGACUGAGACACGGCCCAUACUCCUACGGGAGGCAGCAGUAGGGAAUCUUCCACAAUGGGCGCAAGCCUGAUGGAGCAACACCGCGUGAGUGAAGAAGGGUUUCGGCUCGUAAAGCUCUGUUGUUAAAGAAGAACACGUAUGAGAGUAACUGUUCAUACGUUGACGGUAUUUAACCAGAAAGUCACGGCUAACUACNUGC